AUGGGCAUGGCUUGCUGCUAACAUACCACUCGCCGGCUGCGGCGUGCAGGAUCUGUGCGUGCCGCCUAAGUGUUCCACGAAGUUGGCCAUUGUCGCCGCGAGCGGAGGGGUGGGUCUACCGAGGGAGCUGGCCGAGUGCAUGGCCGAGGAGAAGCACGGUGGCGGCGCGGUGCAGGUAGAGGUUCGCGUCGUCUCGCCGAAGCACCGCUCAUUCAUGUCGUGCAUGGCGCCGCUGGCUCGUGGUGCAGCGUCGCCGUCCCCAUGCCAGGGCGUGUUUCUCUCCGAUGAAUCCAACGGCGUUAGGCGUACGGAUGACCCGCCCAGCUUUCUGUUCUAACUUCUGAGAAAGCUUGUAUGCCUUUGCCAGUUUGUCUGCAUUUUCCUCUAAUUUUCCCGUUGGUACAUAAUUCAUGCAUGUUAAUGGAGCUCUUGGUUUGCAAAAUAUGCUAUCGCCUAUAUGUACUUGGAUCUAGCGAUGAGCACGCUCCAUCCUUUUGCAUCGCCGUUCAGAACCUUCCUCGCAGUCAGGGUGUUACCAUCCCGCCUUUUCCCUCCUUCGUCCUCCCCUUCUGCAGCCCAAGCCACGGCCUCUCCUGUGCGCCUCUGUUUUCCUCCCCGUCAAGACCAGGCAGAGGAGGAGCAGUGCGAGCCACGGAGAUGACGAGGUGGUCGAGCUGCCUGUGGCGCCGUCGCCGUACCUCACGGCCCAGCUGGAGGUGUGUCGGCCGCAGAGACGGCAGAGGUCUCAUCCGCUCGCUCUCUCGCCGCCAUAGGAGGAGUGCGCGCAGGGGGAGUGGCGGGUCAAGAUCCGGAGACGGCGGGGCGGCGACCAUUCCCGUGAGGCCCGGCGGCGAGCAGAGCUCCUAUUGCUGAGUGCCGAGGGGUCGAAGGGCGCUCCGGAUCCGGAUCCGGGCGAGGUGGCGGCCAUGGCCGAGCUCGAGCUGCUUGGCGUCCCCGAGGGCGCCUCCUUCGACGAGAUCCUGCGUGCCCCGUCGUCGCCUCCUGCAAGGAUGACCCAGACGCCGUCGCCCAGAAGUUGCUAAUUUAGGAGAAGAAGUCGCCUCCAUCAAAUUGGAAAUGCAUGAAUGGCGACGUAUGUAUGAUGCAUCUUACGGUCUCAUGCCCAGACCCUAAAUUAAUCUACUUCCUUACAUAGCGAAGAAAAGCGAAGACCUGAUGAUCAGUAAUUUGGGCAAUUUGGUGCACAGUUGUUCGCAUGUGAUGAAUCGAGUCUGUUAAAAUAGUCUACUUUUGGCAGUAAGUGCGUUAGCUUAUAGUGGUAGCAUGAUUUGAGGAGGAGGAGCGAGAUUGAAAGAUGGCAGCCAGUCCAACCACGUCGUCUCUUCAUCCCUUUCUCCUUUUCGAUCUUGGAUUUGAUCUGGACGCCGCCGUCGCCAUGGUUGCCUCGCCGUCGUGGCUCAGGAGACGAUGCGCUGUCUCGCGGCUGGACCGGAAAGGGAAGUAACCCAUCUUCUCCUCUCCUUGGCAGCGACGCAGGCCAGCGACGAGGAGGCUUGCAAUGGUGUGUGCCUAACAGAACAUAGAAGACAAAACAGAGAAGAGAGACUACAUGUUCUUGCAAGAUGCAGUCGUGCUGCUGACAGGAACAAUUUUAUCUCAAGUUUCUUCAUCCGACGAAGGAUUUAUAGUGGAUGCACAUCAAUCUGGGAGGAAUUAUCAGGCACACGACCAGCGAGCGGUGACAGAAGCAACUUCUCCAUUAGACUACAUGGCAGUGUUGGUUCUCAGAAAGUGAAGCUCGCCUGCAUGCACUUCCGCCAGUUCUAUGAGGCAAAAUGCAAAGAAGGGUCAGUACUCAGUACCUUAUUAUAUAUGCCGCACAGUAAUUAUUCUCCACUCUCUGUUGUUCACAAUUUUUUUAUGUAAACCUGCCAGCUUAUUUUGUAUUGUAUGGCACUAUAUUUAGCUCAUACCAAUAAGUAUUAUAAAGAACGAACCUGCUGUUCACUUCAUCUGCAAUCACGUGAUUGGUAGAACUUGGUUCAUUAUCUUAAUACGCCUCCUAUAACUUGUGGUUUCUAGACUUCUGCUUAUACCAUGACCGAGUUCUGCAAAACAGAGAAAAUAAUGUUUGUUCCUCUCUUAUUCAAGUUAAUACGAUGUACUGGAGAUUACUGUAAGACGAAAGAACAAAUGAUGAUAUUGUUAAACAUUUUGAAAGAAGGACCUAUUUGUUUAAGAGAAAACCAUCGGCAAUCCAGCGGUGCUGGCUGCUGGUUUUUGAACCCCUGGUUCUAUCCAACAUCAAUGACAAAUGAGCCUUUCUAACAUAUUUCUGCAUUCACAUACGUCAACUUAUUAUGGAAUAUGGUUUUCUGACCUGCGCAUCAAAGCUUAUGAGGGCAACUUAAGAAUUGUAAUACUUGCAGAUGCGUUCAGACCUUGAUGAUUGGCUUCAUACCAUCGCAUUGCUGUCUUAUCUUACAGUUUUGUACAAUAUAUAACUGCACCUGCCAGAAAGCAUGUUCUUAAAAAGCAUGUUCUAGAUUCUUCUCUUUGGAUUUGAGUUAAGUUUUAUCUCCUGACCCUUUUUCGUUCUGAUUGUUUCAUGGUAUCAAAGAAAACCAAUGAAUUUUUGGAUGGGAAGGAGUGCUUCCACAGAAACUUUUUGACCUUCCGUCUAAGUGUACUGAUUUUAUACAUAAAGUUAAAUCUGGCACGACACUAUUCUUGUAUGAUGUUGAGCACCGUAAGCUUCAUGGGCAACUUCAAAUGGAGCCAUGAAUAUCAUUCCUGAUGCAUAUGCCUCGUCAGGGUUUCGGUAUCUUGUCUGUUAUGAAUAUGUUUUAGACAUACCAAGCAUAGUUAUCUAUUCCGUUUAUUCCAGGGUCUCUAUGAAAUUUGUCAGUCACAUGUCGUUGAUAACCCAACUGGAGCAUCUAUCCUCCACUUAUUCCAUAUUUCACGCUAAUUUGUACCUUUCAGAUGGUAAAAGGAAACUGUCAGCAAUUUUCUGUAAUGCUUUGAAAGUUGCCCUUCCUGGCAUAUUAUCGGAGACAAACUAAUACUUUUCCUGUUGUGUUCGCUAAAUAGAGAAACGCUUUAAGAGGAUUUGGUUUUGCAAGCCUUUGAUGGAAAGUGAAUUUGAAGAUGCAGUACAGGAUAAUUAAUGCUUCGCAAGAAACAAGUUUAGUUACGGUUUGACACAUCAACAGCUGGAUCGGUGGGUGGCGACACGUUCGCUGUUUGGUCGAGCCGUCCACGUCGCUGUUGCUGCCGUCCAGGAUGAGCUGCUCAGCCUGCUACUCCACGAGACUCCUUAGCAACAGCUGAAGAGAGGUUUCAUGGGAACAAGCACCCAUCGUUGUUGUCGCCGUUAGCACCGUCCCUUAACUGCGACCCUUUGGACCCUUUGCUGAUCCAGCUCCCAGAUGGUCAGUGCCUGGGGAAGGGAAGUGGUUUCUCUCUGUCGAGGAGGACAAACAGAGAUAGAGGAGGCAGAUGUGAUAUGCUUGGCAUUAUGCUGUGAGGAUAGAGGGCCAUGGAUCUGGAUGUGGAGGUCAGUGGCAGUAUCGAUGCCUUUUUCCUCUUCUACUCGAUUCCUUGACCUGUUUCCUUUCACUGUUAGAUUGUGAAAGUCCAUGUGACGUUCGUGUCAAGAUGAGCGGCCGUUCCUGCUGACAUUGUGUCAACUAGAUGGUUGUAUUCUUAAAACUUAUCAAUCAAUUGGAGUCGGUUUCUAUAAUUGUUUUCCCUUCAGAAGUUUUUAACCUGCUUAAUGCUUAUUGUUCAGAAUUUUAGGUGCUCUUUUGUCAGAGACCGCUUGAUGGUUUGGUUGGAACUCUAUGAUUUAGCCUAUUAUUGGUGGCAACUAAUUAGGCAUCGAUACUGUGAAUCAGUAAACACUUGCAACAGGACUAUUUUUUUAACUUCCGGACAUUUUUAUUUAUGUGAAAAAUACUUUGUUCUAUCCUUUUUUAUGUGUACUAAUGUGUCUUUUUCUCUAUCCUUUUUCCUGUAUACUAAUGUGUCUUUAUUUAGUGCAAUGCCGAGGUUUCCUCCAUGCUUCCAUACAAUGUCGGAGUACAUCAGAUGUUGCAGUCUGUUCAUCCUGGAUAGUGCUGAGGAUGAAUACAAACUUAUAUGUAAUUGGUUGGUGCUUGCUUUACAUAAGACGGCCACUGUUCCACUUCUGUUUUUUUUUACUUGGUCCUGUACAUGUCUACCGUGUUGUAGUUAAAGUUUCUGAUGUACACUUGUUCCAGCCACAAACAUGGAAGCAAGUUGUUCCUAUAAACCCAUGAUACCCACAAACAUUUUUAGAUCAAUAUUUACA